GUGCCAGCCGCCGCGGUAAUACGUAGGGUGCGAGCGUUAAUCGGAAUUACUGGGCGUAAAGCGUGCGCAGGCGGUUAUUUAAGUCAGGUGUGAAAGCCCUGGGCUUAACCUAGGAAUGGCGCUUGAGACUGGAUAGCUUGGAGUGUGGCAGAGGGAGGUGGAAUUCCACGUGUAGCAGUGAAAUGCGUAGAGAUGUGGAGGAACACCGAUGGCGAAGGCAGCCUCCUGGGCCAGCACUGACGCUCAUGCACGAAAGCGUGGGGAGCAAACAGGAUUAGAAACCCCAGUAGUCC
rnacentral:rRNA from 1 species